UGAAGAGAUAGAUGACCAUCACAGAAUAAAUAUGGCGUAUAUAAAUAUGUGGAUAUUUUUAAACAUCCUGUCAUCUCUGCACUACCUCAUAACAGCCUGUACUCCAUCAGACAGUGGUGUGACAAAUAUAACAGCUUUCUCAGGAGAGUCUGUGCUGCUGCCCUGCACUUGUACCAACACACAGGACAAGCCCAAGAGCUUCUCCUGGGAAACUAAAAGCAGAAGGGCUUCUAAAGAUGGCAUUUACAAUGAUAUAUUCAGUGUGUUUGACCUGUACAGAGACAGAAUUACACUGUUUAAUCAGACUUCACCAGGAAACGUCUCUCUGCUUCUGUCAGAUCUGACUGAGGAUGACCAGGGAUCAUACGUCUGUUUGUUAGAAAAAACCUCCAGAUUCAUCGACGUCUCCAUUAAAAAGAGAAUUGAAAGUACAGCAUUACCUAAGACGAGUCUCGGUGUGUUGAUCUCUGUGCCGUUUCUAGCGAUAGGAGGAGCAGCAGCUGUCAUUUACUGCAUUCACAGAGCUCACAAAAAAGCAAGGAUGGAGACUGGCGAGAUAGAUAUGGAAAAUAAUUUGGAUGAUCACAAUUCAACAUAUGGUAUUCUGCAGAAAAAAUAUGAUGCUGAGGAAAUGUAUGGAACUAUUGGCAACAGACCAAAGAACCAAUAGAAUGUCAGAUGUGUGGUAAAAUUUUCAUUACUAAACCCUGUUUGCAAAUUACAUUGUCUUUUUUACAUUUAUGCAUUUGAUAGAUGCAGAGUUUUGCCACUAGAUGUUGCUGUUGAAUGCUGUGCUUGUGUACUGUGUUCCACUGUUCAUAUUCCCUUUCCUUUUGUCAAAAUAUUCCAUCUAUACAUGAAACUGCACUGAAACAUUA